CCUUUCCUUUUCUAACAGGAAAAACCUUGCUGGAACUUGUGAUUGAGCAGUUUGAAGACUUACUAGUUAGAAUUUUACUGCUGGCAGCAUGUAUAUCUUUCGUAAGUAUUUAAAAAAUUAUUUUGUCUCCCCAUAAAAGUUGAAAGAAUUUCGUUGGGACACCAGAAAAUAAAUAAUUACCAUUGAGUUUCCGUGUUUAAAAACAAACAAACAAAAUAACUCAAGAAUUAGAGGGGGGAAAAUGAUAGAAGCUGUUUUGCUUAGGUUACAGUGCAGUGAGAGGUGACCCCUGACUGCGCAGGGUCUCUGGAAUUCUUGUGUCUCACCAGUUUUUAGUAUCAGAAAGUUCCUCACUCUAAGUCCUUUUCUGUUGGGGUUCUUCCAUUUGUUAUCAUGUUGUAAGAUCACACUACGAUGAUGUUGGGCACUCUGUAAAUAGAUCGUACAAAAGGAAUAUUCCAGUUGCUUUGCCUUCCUGGUGGUGGCAAGGUGACAGUUGUUCCUGACAGUGACAAGAAUGAUGACGGCAGUGAUGGCACCACUGUUGACCAAAUUUGGUCACUGACCUCUAGGGUGGCAUCUAACCUGGACCCCUGUCUUGAGUGAUUCCUAGAGUAAGAGAGCAAAGUUCAGUAUUCUUGGUUCUAAAUAUUAAAGAGGGAAUAAAGGUGAAGGUGGGGUUUUUGUUUGUUUUUUUUUCUUUCUUUCUUUCUUGUUCUGUAUGUGCUUGAGCCAGUGUGGUUGCUAAGAAACUAGAGAAAUGCAGAGAGAGACCUGCCUAAGAAAAGCUAAUGGGGACGGCAAGGGUAGUUCUAGGUUAUUAACAUUUUACUCCAGGAUUUUUUUUUCCUGGGCAGUGGACCUUAUAGUUUCUUUUAAAUGGUGAUAAUGGUAUGCAGAUGUUCUUAAUCUUCAUAACACACGCCAAUUUUUAUUCUUAGAACAUUGUAUUCUUAUACUGUGAUAGGAAGUGAAAAAUCAUACAGUACUUGUCUUAGGUUUCACAAAACUGAUAACUGUAUGGUUUCAAUUAUGUAUUCACACGUUUAAGUCUGACCCAGGGGUUCUGUGGUCAUGGCCUCUAUGAAAACAUUAGCUUAGAGGAUUGUUUAGAGAACUUACUGAAUUCAGGUAAAGGAAAGAUUAAUUUUUUAGCUAUUUUUAAAAUAAUAGUUAAUUGGCAGCAAAGGGGACUUUUAGGAGCAGUUGUAUACAUGAAUUUUCUCCUGAAACUUUGGUUUGUCAUCUACGUGUUGUGUACCCCUUACUCGCUAGCUCAUUUCGUAAGAAUUUCACCUGUGGUUUUCACUGAAUAAAAUUUAUUAGAUUCCCAUAGGAGACCAUUCAGCAUACUGCUGAGUUAUUUACUCUGUACUUCUUAUAUAUAAUAUCUUUUUGUGAUUAAUUUUUAAAAAUUUUGUCCAAUAGGUGGUUGUUUCAUUUGUAAACAAGAUAAAUGGAGUUGAUUAUAGUUUGAGCGUGUUGCCAUGUGCUAAAAUAAGUUAUAUAUGUGGGGGUUGUUUAAGGUUUGUAUUUAUGCAGGCUACAUCAUUCUGGAAGUCUCUGCUUUCGCAUUAAAUGGUGCCAUUCACUAAGGCCAUCAAGGACUUAGAAUUAGAAAUUAACUAGAUGAUAUAUACAAGCUGUAGGCAAAAUGCAUUCUUACUGGUCCCUUUCAUAUUAUUUGAAGCAGUUUUAGAAAUGUGCCAAGUGAACAUGUGAAGUGAACAAGUGAAAUAUGUGCCAAGUUAUUUUCUAUUGGAUUUCAGAAGGUUUCAAAUUGUUUGUGGACAGUUUGACUUUUUAUCAAGCAGAAUUAAUGAUUAUAGAUAAAUUUUACUUUGGAGUAAUUAGGAAUUUAUUCUAAUUUUCAAAUUUGAAGUGCUUAACAGUUUUUGUGAUAGAGAAGACAUUGCCUGUUGGUAGUUGAAAUAUAAGUUCAUUUUCAAUAACUACUUGGAAUUCUUGUUCAGGAAAUGAACUGCUACAUUUUUAUGAUAUGAGUUGUUAAAUGGAAAAGAAUAAGUGUUUAGGAAGUGCUUUUUCUAGAAUUCAUUUCAUUUGCUUUGGUUUAUUUGAUCAAGAUUGUGGGUAGAUUAAGAGACUCUUGAGAGGUUGCUCUGAAGCCUAUACCACCCCUGACUUCUAGCGUCCAUGCUUAAAUCUGUAUUAAAACCUUUAAAGAUAAACUCCAAGGUUGCUUAACUUCAAAAGAAGUAGUUCAGGAAGGCGAGGCACCCGUGCAGCCUGGGCUGGAAUAAGACUGCUCUUAAAAGCUACAAAG
rnacentral:lncRNA from 1 species